CUGCCUGAGAGCACAGCACGUUUUUUUUGGCAGGAUGUGGCAGAGGGCUCUCCUCCGUCCGCUAGUGACGCGUUGGCCUUCCAGUGGGCAGAAGGACGGGAGCCCCCCCGUCGUCUCGUCUCAGACUAUCUACCCGGCCUCCCACUCCGCCAAAAGCUCACGCCUGGACCUCGUGACUUCUCUGGAGUUUAUGGUGAGGAAAGCGAUACGGAGGAUUCGGCGGAACACUGGAACGACGACGAGCAACGUGGCCGUGGAUUGAGUGAUAAUGUACGGGAUAAGGAGGAUGACGAGAAGAAGAAGAUAUGGAUUUAGAUAAGAGAGAGAGAGAGAGAGAGAGAGAGAGAGAGAGAGAGAGAGAGAGAGAGUAUGGUGAUGAGCAGGCAGGAUAAAACAACAUGGUGCUGCUGUCCACGUCACCUUUCCAUGCUUCCAUGUCUAUCCCCAGAUGAUGCUUGCUUGGUUUACUACCGCCUUCGUC
rnacentral:misc_RNA from 1 species